rnacentral:rRNA from 1 species
ACGGUCUGGAAGUCAUCGAUGCCACGCUCCCAGGAAAAGCCUCUAAGCUUCAGAUACAGUGGAACCGUACCCCAAACCGACACAGGUGGUCAGGUAGAGAAUACCAAGGCGCUUGAGAGAACUCGGGUGAAGGAACUAGGCAAAAUGGUGCCGUAACUUCGGGAGAAGGCACGCCGGUAUUAGGUGAAGCCCCUUGCGGGUGGAGCUGACGCCGGUCGAAGAUACCAGGUGGCUGCAACUGUUUAUUAAAAACACAGUACUCUGCAAACGCGUAAGCGGACGUAUAGGGUAUGACGCCUGCCCGGUGCCGGAAGGUUAAUUGAUGGUGUUAGCGUAAGCGAAGCUCCUGAUCGAAGCCCCGGUAAACGGCGGCCGUAACUAUAACGGUCCUAAGGUAGCGAAAUUCCUUGUCGGGUAAGUUCCGACCUGCACGAAUGGCGUAAUGAUGGCCACGCUGUCUCCACCCGAGACUCAGUGAAAUUGAAAUCGCAGUGAAGAUGCUGUGUACCCGCGGCUAGACGGAAAGACCCCGUGAACCUUUACUACAGCUUCACACUGGACGCUGAUGUUGCUUGUGUAGGAUAGCUGGGAGGCUUGGAAACCCGGUCGCCAGAUCGAGUGGAGCCAACCUUGAAAUACCAGCCUGGCAUCAUUGGCGUUCUAACUCCGGUCCGUUAUCCGGAUCGAGGACCGUGUGUGGUGGGUAGUUUGACUGGGGCGGUCUCCUCCCAAAGCGUAACGGAGGAGCACGAAGGUACCCUCAGCACGGUUGGAAAUCGUGCAAUGAGUGCAAGAGCAUAAGGGUGCUUAACUGCGAGACAGACACGUCGAGCAGGUACGAAAGUAGGUUCUAGUGAUCCGGUGGUUCUGUAUGGAAGGGCCAUCGCUCAACGGAUAAAAGGUACUCCGGGGAUAACAGGCUGAUACCGCCCAAGAGUUCACAUCGACGGCGGUGUUUGGCACCUCGAUGUCGGCUCAUCACAUCCUGGGGCUGAAGUCGGUCCCAAGGGUAUGGCUGUUCGCCAUUUAAAGUGGUACGCGAGCUGGGUUUAGAACGUCGUGAGACAGUUCGGUCCCUAUCUGCCGUGGGCGUUGGAGAUUUGAGAAGUGCUGCUCCUAGUACGAGAGGACCGGAGUGGACGACCCUCUGGUGUUCCGGUUGUCACGCCAGUGGCAUCGCCGGGUAGCUAUGGUCGGACGGGAUAACCGCUGAAAGCAUCUAAGCGGGAAGCCUCCUUCAAGAUGAGAUCUCCCCGAGGCCUCGAGCCUCCUGAAGGGCCCAGCGAGACGAGCUGGUUGAUAGGUCGGGUGUGGAAGCGCUGCAAGGCGUUGAGCUAACCGAUACUAAUGGCCCGUGAGGCUUGACCAU